CUAGAGGAAGUGCGCUUCCCGCUGCCUCACAUCUGCUCGUGCGUAACCGGAAAUAUUGUAUCGGCUGACGCUCUACUAGCUACUAGUUUGCUACCAAGUUGUACUGUCUUUGCAACAAACGACGUCUGCCACACUUUCCCUCACAGGCAUGGACUCCGUAAUGGAACCCUGACGCGAUGUCCCCACACACCUUGCACAGGAGCACCAUCCCUCCAGUCUCUGAUGGAGAGAGAGAAACAGUCAGAACAGCGGAGGGAAUGGCCCCAAAAAAGCACAAAGGGACAAACGAUUUCAGGCACAAAGAUUGGCCAGUGUGACAGAAGGCACUCACUCGAGAAGGUUCCGGUGAACCCACAGGGCCUCUUUCCCACGAUGGGGUAGGAGUAGGUGUGCUGGGAAGGGGCAGAAGAUG